UACGUAGGCAGCGAGCGUUGUUCGGAUUUACUGGGCGUAAAGGGUGUGUAGGCGGUUGUUUAAGUUUGGUGUGAAAUCUCCCGGCUCAACUGGGAGGGUGCGCCGAAUACUGAGCGACUAGAGUGCGGGAGAGGAAAGUGGAAUUCCUGGUGUAGCGGUGAAAUGCGUAGAUAUCAGGAGGAACACCGGUGGUGUAGACGGCUUUCUGGACCGUAACUGACGCUGAGACACGAAAGCGUGGGUAGCAAACAGG
rnacentral:rRNA from 1 species